AACGAACGCUGGCGGCAGGCUUAACACAUGCAAGUCGAGCGCACCGCAAGGUGAGUGGCAGACGGGUGAGUAACACGUGGGGAUCUGCCCAAUGGUACGGAAUAGCUCCGGGAAACUGGAAUUAAUACCGUAUGAGCCCGCAAGGGGAAAGAUUUAUCGCCAUUGGAUGAACCCGCGUCGGAUUAGCUAGUUGGUGUGGUAAAGGCGCACCAAGGCGACGAUCCGUAGCUGGUCUGAGAGGAUGAUCAGCCACACUGGGACGGAGACACGGCCCAGACUCCUACGGGAGGCAGCAGUGGGGAAUAUUGGACAAUGGGCGCAAGCCUGAUCCAGCCAUGCCGCGUGAGUGAUGAAGGCCUUAGGGUUGUAAAGCUCUUUCGCCGACGAAGAUAAUGACGGUAGUCGGAGAAGAAGCCCCGGCUAACUUCGUGCCAGCCGCCGCCGUAAAAC
rnacentral:rRNA from 1 species